GUGCCAGCAGCCGCGGUAAUACGGAGGAUGCAAGCGUUAUCCGGAAUGAUUGGGCGUAAAGCGUCCGCAGGUGGCGAUGUAAGUCUGCUGUUAAAGAGUCUAGCUCAACUAGAUAAGAGCAGUGGAAACUACAUAGCUAGAGUACGUUCGGGGCAGAGGGAAUUCCUGGUGUAGCGGUGAAAUGCGUAGAGAUCAGGAAGAACACCAGUGGCGAAGGCGCUCUGCUAGGCCGUAACUGACACUGAGGGACGAAAGCUAGGGGAGCGAAUGGGAUUAGAUACCCGGGUAGUCC
rnacentral:rRNA from 1 species